CACGUAGGGGGCAAGCGUUGUCCGGAUUUAUUGGGCGUAAAGAGCUCGUAGGCGGCUCAGUAAGUCAGGUGUGAAACCUCCAGGCUCAACCUGGAGACGCCACCUGAUACUGCUGUGGCUAGAGUCCGGUAGGGGGAGCGUGGAAUUCCUGGUGUAGCGGUGAAAUGCGCAGAUAUCAGGAGGAACACCCAGGUGGCGAAGGCGGCCUCUGGCGGUCGAACUGGACG
rnacentral:rRNA from 1 species